rnacentral:rRNA from 1 species
GGAUGAACGCUAGCGGCAGGCCUAACACAUGCAAGUCGAGGGGUAACAUAAGGUGCUUGCACUUUGAUGACGACCGGCGCACGGGUGAGUAACGCGUAUACAAUCUGCCUCAUACUAGGGAAUAGCCCAGAGAAAUUUGGAUUAAUGCCCUAUAGUAUCAUUAAGAGUCAUCUCUUUUUGGUUAAAGGUUACGGUAUGAGAUGAGUAUGCGUUCUAUUAGUUAGUAGGUGAGGUAACGGCUCACCUAGACUGCGAUAGAUAGGGGCCCUGAGAGGGGGAUCCCCCACACUGGUACUGAGACACGGACCAGACUCCUACGGGAGGCAGCAGUGAGGAAUAUUAGACAAUGGGCGAAAGCCUGAUCUAGCCAUGCCGCGUGCAGGAUGACGGCCCUAUGGGUUGUAAACUGCUUUUAUACAGGAAGAAAAAACUCUACGUGUAGAGUCUUGACGGUACUGUAAGAAUAAGGAUCGGCUAACUCCGUGCCAGCAGCCGCGGUAAUACGGAGGAUCCAAGCGUUAUCCGGAAUUAUUGGGUUUAAAGGGUCCGUAGGUGGACAAUUAAGUCAGAGGUGAAAUCCUGCAGCUCAACUGUAGAAUUGCCUUUGAAACUGGUUGUCUUGAGUCAUUAUGAAGUGGUUAGAAUGUGUAGUGUAGCGGUGAAAUGCAUAGAUAUUACACAGAAUACCAAUUGCGAAGGCAGAUCACUAAUAAUGUACUGACACUGAUGGACGAAAGCGUGGGUAGCGAACAGGAUUAGAUACCCUGGUAGUCCACGCCGUAAACGAUGGUUACUAGCUGUUCGGACUUCCGUCUGA